rnacentral:rRNA from 1 species
GUGUGCCUACGGGGCGCAGCAGUGGGGAAUAUUGCACAAUGGGGGAAACCCUGAUGCAGCGACGCCGCGUGAAGGAAGAAGUAUUUCGGUAUGUAAACUUCUAUCAGCAGGGAAGAAAAUGACGGUACCUGACUAAGAAGCCCCGGCUAACUACGUGCCAGCAGCCGCGGUAAUACGUAGGGGGCAAGCGUUAUCCGGAUUUACUGGGUGUAAAGGGAGCGUAGGCGGCGAUGCAAGUCAGAAGUGAAAGCCCGGAGCUCAACUCCGGGCGUGCUUUUGAAACUGUAUGGCUAGAUUGCAGGAGG